rnacentral:tRNA from 1 species
GCCCAGGUGGCGAAAUUGGUAAACGCGCAGCGUUCAGGACGCUGUGAUCGUAAGAUCUUGGGAGUUCGAGUCUCCCCCUGGGCA